UGGGAUCCAUUUUACAGCUGGGCACGGCUUGUGUGCUUAAUAUUUGUAUUCUUUACUGCUUUCAUCUGAGAACGGGUAAUCAACCAUCUCCUGGGAGAGGUGCAACAUUAUAAUCAGGGACAGGAAAGUGUUUUGAAAUGAUGAAAUACCUAAAAAUUUUGUGCAUCGACGUUUUCCUUUUGGUCACCUGCCUUCAGAACUCUGAGCCAAGCAAGAGAAGUGAAAAUAUGUAUUCAUGGCGGAGCUAGUGUACAACUUCAAAGAAAGAAGAAUGGCUGCUGUGUAAAAUACUGGAGAAAUACUCUCUGCCACCCAUCUUCCCUCCUACAGGAUAGCCAGGCCAGUGUUUCCAAAACAUCUUUCAAUUCUGAAUCUUGCUCAAAAUGUCCUAAAGUUUUUCUUUUGUCUCUUGCCUAGCAAUCAGGCUGUCCAGCCCACUCUCAAUGAUUCCUCUUACCAAAAGCACCGCAAUAACAAGGCCAAACUAGUCCACCUCUAUACUUUUCUCAUCCUGCUACAACUGCUUAAGUAACUUUUAUUUAAAUCCUAAUCACCUCUCA